rnacentral:rRNA from 1 species
UCAAGAAACUUCCACAAUGGGCGAAAGCCUGAUGGAGCGACGUCGCGUGAUGGACGAAGUGCUUCGGCACGUAAACAUCUUUUUAUGUGGGAUGAAAUUAUUGACAGUACCACAUGAAUAAGGGGCUCCUAACUCUGUGCCAGCAGGAGCGGUAAUACAGAGGCCCCAAGCGUUAUCCGGAAUCACUGGGCGUAAAGGGUGUCGAGGCGGUUGUAUUAGUCGUUCGUAAAAUCUACGAGCUUAACUUGUAGGCGGCGAACGAAACGGUACGACUUGAGGUUUGGAGAGGUGCGUGGAACUCACGGUGUAGGGGUGAAAUCCGUUGAUAUCGUGGGGAGCACCAAAGGCGAAGGCAGCGCACUGGCCAAAAUCUGACGCUCACACACGAAAGCUAGGGUAGCGAAGAGGAUUAGAUACCCAGGUAGUCCCUGAGCGGGCUGGCAAGGCGCAU